rnacentral:misc_RNA from 1 species
AGGGAAUUGGCUUAUGUGCCAGAUGUUCUGGACAAGCUUUCUUCUCUUGAAGAGUUCAUUAUUGAUGGGUGUCCAAUGUUGAAAUCAUUGCCAGAUAGUAUCCGUUCCCUAACCAGGCUUGAAAAGCUGGUGAUUCGAAGAUGCCCUGAUUUAAUUAAGCAACUACACGAAGAGGGCAGCGAAGAGUGGUCCAAGACAGCACAUAUCCCGCGCAUUGAGAAAGAAAUUGAAGAAUAUCUUACUGAAGAAGACAGCCAUAGUGAACUUCAUUACUGAAGAAAUGCACUCUCAAUCAAAUUCCAAAUGUUUUCC